UACGUAGGGUGCGAGCGUUAAUCGGAAUUACUGGGCGUAAAGAGUGUGUAGGCGGUGUUCCCAGUCUGUUGUGAAAUCUCCCGGCUUAACUGGGAGGGUGCAGCGGAAACUAGAAUGCUAGAGGGUGGGAGAGGUAAGCGGAAUUCCGUGGUGUAGCGGUGAAAUGCGUAGAUAUCAGGAGGAACACCUGUGGUGUAGACAGCUUACUGGACCACUUCUGACGCUGAGACACGAAAGCGUGGGUAGCAAACAGG
rnacentral:rRNA from 1 species